GAUGAAGUGUCAGGUUUACUGACACGAAACGCGUUAGAUGUGAAUCCCCCUCCUCAGCUAUGUUAAAGCGCUCAAUAAAGCCAUAUAUUUGAUACUAACAAGCCAGACUCCGAUAAUGCUUUGAACAGCGCUAUACAGCGAUGACAGAGAGUGUGUGUUUACUGAUUUUCUACCUACUGCACCAGCGGAGAAGGAUCUACUACAUCCCGCACGGUCUGAUCAGAGCAGAGGGGUUAUGGGAGAUUAUACCCAAGUAAUAUGUUGGUAUGUAUGGAAGCAACUACCCGCCAAACAAAAUUGUGCUGCUGCUGCUAUGUGGGUGAAACCUUAAUUCUACUUGUUUGUCUGCGCGUAUGAGAGAGUGUGAGUGAGUGAGCAUUACAGUGCAGUAAGUGUGCAGAUGGCUACCUGUGGCUGCUGCACCGAGUUAACCCACCGGAUUGCCACUGUCGGGCUGAAUGCAGUGUAAUGUCCUUAAUUCUGAUUUCCCAGUGCCUCCCACCUGAUCUUCACUUCCUUCUUGGAGUUGUUGUUCAGCAAGAGGCAGAGGGGUCUCUAUCACUCUCCCUUUCUCUCUCUCACUGCACAGGUCCACCACCAUUGGGGCACAGCCGUCCUAGGCCUAGUGGAUUUCAACUUACAAGGGGGCCCGGGGAAGAAGAAUCUGCUGCUGAUGCUGACUCUGCUGCUGCUGGAGAAGGAGGAAGGAGCCGCCAGAUAAGAAGCCACUGGAGGGGGGUGAAGAAGACUUGCUGCUGAACUUUAGAGCUUUUUUAUGUCUGUAUGUGCCAGUGGGUACAUGAGCAUACAGGCUACAUUCCAUGAUGGGGAAUGGUUGGAGAUUCCGAGUAAUGACCAUUAGAAACUGAACCUCCAACGCGUUAGCCCAGUGUGAGAAUUCUUGGUGGAGCAGCUGUACCCACAGGAGGACUGGCAUGUGUCACUGACAGAUAACCAGGCUACAUGAAUUUUCUACAGGGAUAGACAAUAUUUCCAUUCUCCCUCCCCUCCGUGUAGGAUUUGCUGGAAGAAUUUUUAUCCUCCUCUGCCGGCUGGAAGUUGCGAAUCAUGGAUUUAUGUUUGUUUAAGCGUGUUUUGAUCUGUCUACUUGUUUGCCCUAUGUAGGCUAAUCCGCAUGGACAUUUAAUGCAAUAAAUUACAUUAAAGGAGUUACAAGUAUGAAAUCCUUUUGUGUGAUGUUUUGUUCCUUUACAGGGAUGUGUGACAGUAUCCCCCUUAGUGAUGACAUUACAAUGCCCACAAUUAUGGCAAGGGUAAGUGCCUGGGGUUGCCUUAGUAUAGAGGGGUUUCUUGUGUGUAUUUCUGAUCAUAUCCCCUUUAUUUCUACCCCUUUUAUACGAAAAAAUAGGAGGGACAGAAAACAAAUUCCCCAAUUUAGGGUCAUUUUUCAGUAUCAUCCAGUUUUUUAGUAUGAUUUUUUUAAUAGCUGUGGAAUUAGUAUCGUAAGUAGACACAAAUGGUACCCGUUCCGAUUUUUCUUUGAGAUUUGUAUUUUUUGUUAGUAAUUUCUCCAUGGGAAUUUUUCCAACCUCAUCUUUAGUUUUGAGUAGAUUCUCAUAAUUAUAUCCUUUGGUGUGAAAUUUUUCAAUCAUUUUAACAGAUUCCUGGGACUAUAGCUCGUCAGUGGAAGUGAUUGUCCUGACUCGGAGCAAUUGACUUCUCGGUAACCCUCUAAAUAAACUGGGCGGACGAAAACUAUUAGGCUUUAGUAAAUUAUUUCGAUCAGUGGGUUUGGUGUAAAGUGAAGUGAUAAAACCCAUGUUCUCAUAUUGUAUAUUUACAUCCAAAAAGUGGAUAUUAUUUAAAUGACACUCUAAGGUGAACUUAAUAGAUGGGUGCACAUUGAAUUUUGUACCCACUCACACUA